rnacentral:piRNA from 1 species
UGAAAAAAUGAUCUCAACAAA